rnacentral:rRNA from 1 species
CCUUUCGGGUGCGAUUCUGUGAGGUGUGAGGAGUUAAACGCCUUCAUGUUUUGCAUAUUCGUGCUCUUGGGUGUACUUGCCCGUGUGGUUGGUUAACGUCAAUUUUGGACGCCAUAAAAUGACUGGAGGAAUGUAGCUUCGAUCUCGUAUUGAAGUGUUAUAGCCUUUGGUAGAUGUGGUUUUCGAGAUUGAGGAUUGCAACGGAUACCCUUCGGGGCUACCUAUCUGAUCUCUGAUCGUUGCUCUGGUGGCGAAAGCUUGCUUACGGAUAUCAAAGUCGAUGGUCAAUAGGUUAGAAUAGGUUAAA